GGCAGGAAGUGUGCAGUGAAAUUCUUUGUAUAUAACAAGCAAGUUUUUCAACUUUAUUAUGUCAUCAAGUUUUAGGAUUUGGGAUGUUAGGAACAGUGUGUUAGUAUGGUCCCUAAAGCCAACGUUAUGCACAAUCCUAAUAGCUUUUUUU